GACGAACGCUGGCGGCGUGCCUAAUACAUGCAAGUAGAACGCUGAAGGAGGAGCUUGCUUCUCUGGAUGAGUUGCGAACGGGUGAGUAACGCGUAGGUAACCUGCCUGGUAGCGGGGGAUAACUAUUGGAAACGAUAGCUAAUACCGCAUAAUAGUAGAUGUUGCAUGACAUUUGCUUAAAAGGUGCAAUUGCAUCACUACCAGAUGGACCUGCGUUGUAUUAGCUAGUUGGUGAGGUAACGGCUCACCAAGGCAACGAUACAUAGCCGACCUGAGAGGGUGAUCGGCCACACUGGGACUGAGACACGGCCCAGACUCCUACGGGAGGCAGCAGUAGGGAAUCUUCGGCAAUGGACGGAAGUCUGACCGAGCAACGCCGCGUGAGUGAAGAAGGUUUUCGGAUCGUAAAGCUCUGUUGUAAGAGAAGAACGAGUGUGAGAGUGGAAAGUUCACACUGUGACGGUAUCUUACCAGAAAGGGACGGCUAACUACGUGCCAGCAGCCGCGGUAAUACGUAGGUCCCGAGCGUUGUCCGGAUUUAUUGGGCGUAAAGCGAGCGCAGGCGGUUAGAUAAGUCUGAAGUUAAAGGCUGUGGCUUAACCAUAGUACGCUUUGGAAACUGUUUAACUUGAGUGCAAGAGGGGAGAGUGGAAUUCCAUGUGUAGCGGUGAAAUGCGUAGAUAUAUGGAGGAACACCGGUGGCGAAAGCGGCUCUCUGGCUUGUAACUGACGCUGAGGCUCGAAAGCGUGGGGAGCAAACAGG
rnacentral:rRNA from 1 species